UACGAAGGGUGCAAGCGUUGCUCGGAAUCAUUGGGCGUAAAGCGCACGUAGGCGGCUCCAAAAGUCGGAUGUGAAAUCCCUGGGCUCAACCGAGGAAGUGCAUCCGAAACUGCGGAGCUUGAGUAUGGAAGAGGGUCGCGGAAUUCCCGGUGUAGAGGUGAAAUUCGUAGAUAUCGGGAGGAACACCAGUGGCGAAGGCGGCGACCUGGGCCAAUACUGACGCUGAGGUGCGAAAGCGUGGGGAGCAAACAGG
rnacentral:rRNA from 1 species